UGUCAACGGAGAACAAGUUGUAUAAAGUAGCCAGAAUAUAGUAUUUUCUCCCUCAAGUCCAGCCAUCCUUACUAUCAUCUGAUACAGGGCCAGCUUUUGUGCAAUAUGAAUUAUUGUGUUUCGAUUGUUUGGACUACAGCCGACUGCAUGCAAAAUUAUCCGGAUCAUCAAGGACUCUUAGUGGACAAAGAACAUUGCAAAGUGAUUGAAUUUUAUAUCUGCAACUUGAUUAUUUGGACAACAGCUGACUGUGGAAUUAUCCGGGAUCAUAAAGGACUCUGAAUGAACACAUAACAUGAACAGAAUUAUUCUUUCAAUAUUUUCAUUCCUGAAUGGAUUCAAAAUCAACAUGUAUUGAUAAAAUAUACUUAGUAAAACAAUAACAAUCAGUAGUGCAUUUUUUAUUUAUACUAAACUAUUUGACACA